AGUUCGAUUCUUCUCUUUUCCAGGUCGUCCUUGUCAUUGUUCUCUGGAGAUUUGUGUUUUGACAUCCUUUGUGAAUGAAGGGUGGGAACCACAGUGCUGACUUCUCACGAUGUGGAGAGCUGCUCGGUUGGCUCUGUGAGAGCUACUGAGCACUGAGUGAAAGAGGUGGAAGAGGCUCAGACUUUUCCCCAGCCACUCCUGCUGACCUUGAACUGACCGUAUAAAAGAUACUCUAGUUGUAUUUUCUUGGCAAUGCCAUAAAUCAAUGUUCACAAAGACCAGGAAGACCCGAUGUUAAAAGAGAGUGCCUUUCUUGCUUUGAAAUACAAUGAUGUAGGAAUACAACUGCUCUAAAUCAGUUGGGAAAAGUGCUGCUCUGGCUAUUAAGGAGGCUGUAACUGAGUUUAAUUAAGGGAGAGCAGAAUGCCAAUUGUGUCAGAUAAAUACGUGCUGAAAAAUGAGAGGAUGUUAAAUGUUUUGCUGGUGGUACCUCCUCUGAGAGUGGAAAGGGGCUUUUAUUCAUGUGAGACCUUGUUGUGGAUGACAAGAAUGUAUGAUGUCUGACUCCACAAAUGUAAACUUGCAUUAUAAGCUGCAGUGUGCUGUAAGAGAAGUGUGCUUUACUUUAUCAGAUUUGAGAAACACAACGUAUCUGAUUUUAAAUUAUGCAGUAACACAGCUUCUAUUGUCUGUUCAAACUGUAUGUGUGCUAUGAAUAAACAAAAGGCAAAUGAUAAUGUCAUGAGAAGGAAAGGGCAAACAUUUCAGAGAGAUAAAAAUUGGUUGACAGCCUGUCUCGGUAUUCCUAGAAGUUUACAUGGAAACAGAAAAAAGGCCAAUCUCAACUUCUGUUUAUGGGGUGUUAUAUUUUGAUUCUGUCUUUAUACGUGUGUGUAUUAUACAUAAUAUAAUCUCUUCAGGACGGAGGCAGAAAGAUGAGAGAGAGCACUGUAUUAUUAUUUUUUUCUAGUAAAUCACAGAUGUGUAUAUUG
rnacentral:lncRNA from 7 species